AUUAAUGCCAUGAAUAUUCAAUUAAGAGCCUGUGUACAGAGGCCGCUCUCAAGGAAUCCUCUCCUGUGGCCUCGGGGCAGACAUGAGUGAGGUUCUAGUUCAUGUGCUGAUGAUUAUAGGGUUGUAGAGUAGAGCACCGAUUCAAAGCCCAACCCAACCAGGUCUCACAGAGAGCAGCUUGGCUGGGAGGCCAUGGCUCGAGGCUGCCCUGGAGAUGUUGGCUGGAACUACAGUCAUCUGAAGGCGUGAAUGGGGCGGAUGAUCCACUCUGGAGCUCACUUGAAGCAGUUGGCAGGCACCUCAGUUCCUUGCUGGCUGUUUGCUGGCGGUCUCAGCUCCUUGGCACACGGGUCUGUCUCUCCAUAGGGCUUCUUAUGUACCUUCAUGAUAUGGCAGCUGGCUUCCCCCAGAAUAAAGGAUCCAAGAGAGAGCAGGAAACAAGCAGUCAUGCCUCUUAUGACGCAGCCUUGGACAUCAUCACUUCUGCUGCAUUCUGUUCAGCAGAAGAGAGUCAUGAGGUCCGACUCACAUUCAAGAGGAGUUGGGAUUGACCUUCACCUCUGGAAGGGAAGAGUGUUAAAGAAUUCAUGGGUGUAUUUUAAAAGUACCACACAUUCAUGUAUUAAUUUUCCCUCUUGGCCAUUAUCAGAUCUCAAACAAGACUGCAAUCUCC
rnacentral:lncRNA from 1 species